GGUCCUGAAAAAGAAGAAGAAACAGAAUUAGAACACAUAAAUUAGCAGUUAAGAGAAAUAACAGAGUUGGAGAGGAAAAAAAUGUGAAUUGAACGUUGUCAGUCGAUUAUCACGGUUGAUGCUAGCGCAAACUGUUACAGAGGAGAGACAAACUUCCAGAGGUUGGAGUUUGGCCUGUCUGGAAACUUCAUAACUAGAAAAUUUGAAUUCUCUUGGUUGGGUUUUUUUUUCCGUCCUUCCUUUCCCUAUCUUCUGUUUUUCCAUCAUCCCUUGAGUCGGGUGCAGCAUAUUUUCUGGAACCGGACGAUCGCGAAGAAGACUUUGAACUUGAACUGUCCCUGCAUUGCACUAAAAAAGAGACUGCGAGCAGGAACUGGCGAGCCAUGCCCAUAUAAGGAUCGAGCUACGAGAAUCAAGAAAGUGGUAGGAUUGUGCAUACGCUUUUCCUUCGUUUUUUUUUCUGACUGAACUGUGUUGCUCAGAACUCAAUUGCGGAAGAAGGAUCUCGUGUAAGCAGCACUGAACUGGAGCUAAAGUUUGGUGAAACCCUAAUCCACAUUGAGACUGUUAUUGUGAGCAGUAAGGUUGAUCUAUUGUAAAUUUCUUUUAAUUUCUACUGAUUUUUUUUUUUACUCUCAAAUUCCACUGUUCUUUAGUUUCAUUUAAUUAAUUGGUUUUAUUUUAUUUAUUUUUUGUUGUUGUUGUUUUUCCGAAGAACGAGAGUGAAAAAGGUAUUUCGAAGUGUCAUUUGGAAGAAUUGUAUUCAUAGUCAAACUCAAAGUUAUUCUCUAUAUUAAAUAAGCCAAUUAAAAAACCAAAUUGAAUAAAUAUGUGAAAAGAAAUUUUAUGCCCAUAUUAGCAGAGUAAGAGUCAGUUAAUUUUAUUAGGUUGAAUCUAAAUAGGUCAAAAGGAGAUAGACAAACAAAUAAUAAAAAGUACUAGAACUAAAUAGACAAUUUAAAUAUAUAAGGGAUUAUAAGAAGAAUACAUUUAUUUAUUUAUUUAUUUUUUUUCAUUCAUUUCAUUCUCCAUUACCCCUUUUUGAUCACUAUUUCCCCUUUUUUUUCUUUUUUUUGUUUGUUUGUUCUGAUGAUGUAUUGAAACUUUGGCUUAUUGUUAUUAUUUUUUUUCCCUCCCAUUAUUGCAUUAUUAACAUUCUCUUUAAUACAUCUUACCUGUUUCUAAUGCAGCCAGUUGUUGUCGUCAUUUCCUUCUACCAUUGUUGCUGACACAGUCUCUUGAGCGAGUCUGAUCUUCUGGUCGCUGGUCCAAAUCUAGAAACGGUGUAUUCCUUCUCUGCUCAUUUCCG